UACGUAGGGGGCGAACGUUGUCCGGAUUUAUUGGGCGUAAAGAGCUCGUAGGCGGCUCAGCAAGUCGGCCGUGAAAGUCCGGGGCUCAACCCCGGGAUGCCGGUCGAUACUGCUGUGGCUAGGGUCCGGUAGAGGAGAGUGGAAUUCCCGGUGUAGCGGUGAAAUGCGCAGAUAUCGGGAGGAACACCAGUAGCGAAGGCGGCUCUCUGGGCCGGUACGACGCUGAGGAG
rnacentral:rRNA from 1 species